AGAGCGAACGCUGGCGGCAGGCUUAACACAUGCAAGUCGAGCGCCCCGCAAGGGGAGCGGCAGACGGGAGAGUAACACGUGGGAACGUACCUUUCGGUUCGGAACAACCCAGGGAAACUUGGGCUAAUACCGGAUACGUCCGUAAGGAAAAAGAUUUAUCGCCGAAAGAUCGGCCCGCGUCUGAUUAGCUAGUUGGUGAGGUAACGGCUCACCAAGGCGACGAUCAGUAGCUGGUCUGAGAGGAUGAUCAGCCUCACUGGGACUGAGACACGGCCCAGACUCCUACGGGAGGCAGCAGUGGGGAAUAUUGGACAAUGGGCGCAAGCCUGAUCCAGCCAUGCCGCGUGGGUGAUGAAGGCCCUAGGGUUGUAAAGCCCUUUCGGCGGGGAAGAUAAUGACGGUACCGCAGAAGAACGCCCGGCUAACUUCGUGCCAGCAGCCGC
rnacentral:rRNA from 1 species